GAUGAACGCUGGCGGCGUGCUUAACACAUGCAAGUCGAACGGGAAACCUUUUAUUGAAGCUUCGGCAGAUUUAGCUGGUUUCUAGUGGCGGACGGGUGAGUAACGCGUGGGUAACCUGCCUUAUACAGGGGGAUAACAGUCAGAAAUGGCUGCUAAUACCGCAUAAGCGCACAGAGCUGCAUGGCUCAGUGUGAAAAACUCCGGUGGUAUAAGAUGGACCCGCGUUGGAUUAGCUGGUUGGUGGGGUAACGGCCCACCAAGGCGACGAUCCAUAGCCGGCCUGAGAGGGUGAACGGCCACAUUGGGACUGAGACACGGCCCAGACUCCUACGGGAGGCAGCAGUGGGGAAUAUUGCACAAUGGGGGAAACCCUGAUGCAGCGACGCCGCGUGAAGGAAGAAGUAUCUCGGUAUGUAAACUUCUAUCAGCAGGGAAGAUAAUGACGGUACCUGACGAAGAAGCCCCGGCUAACCACGUG
rnacentral:rRNA from 1 species